GUAGGUGGCAAGCGUUGUCCGGAAUUAUUGGGCGUAAAGCGCGCGCAGGUGGUUCUUUAAGUCUGAUGUGAAAGCCCCCGGCUCAACCGGGGAGGGUCAUUGGAAACUGGGGAACUUGAGUGCAGGAGAGGAAAGUGGAAUUCCACGUGUAGCGGUGAAAUGCGUAGAUAUGUGGAGGAACACCAGUGGCGAAGGCGGCUUUCUGGCCUGUAACUGACACUGAGGCGCGAAAGCGUGGGGAGCAAACAGGGAUUAGAUACCCUGGUAGUCCACGCCGUAAACGAUGAGUGCUAAGUGUUGGGGGGGUUUCCCGCCCCUCAGUGCUGCAGCUAACGCAUUAAGCACUCCGCCUGGGGAGUACGGUCGCAAGACUG
rnacentral:rRNA from 1 species